UCAACGACGUUGAGUCGGACAAGUACGCUUUAGUACGGCAGCACAGAGAGUCAGCGGUGGGUGUGAAGCUGGCCUGUUCGUCAAGGCGGAAUGGCCCGAGGAGUCGUGAGUGCGAACACGCGAGUUAGUAGCGCCCUCCGGCAGCGUCCCGUUAUCAUGACGCACGAUAUCGGCCCCUAGUUGGCCUGUAUCGCAGAGCGCCUACGGUCAUGUCCGUGGGAAGCAAGGUGGCACCGCGGGAACCCUGUCUCGUCCUUGAU
rnacentral:ncRNA from 1 species